rnacentral:rRNA from 1 species
UACGUAGGCAGCAAGCGUUGUUCGGAGUUACUGGGCGUAAAGGGUGCGUAGGCGGCUUUUAAGUUUGGUGUGAAAUCUCCCGGCUCAACUGGGAGGGUGCGCCGAAUACUGAGAAGCUAGAGUGUGGGAGAGGAAAGUGGAAUUCCUGGUGUAGCGGUGAAAUGCGUAGAUAUCAGGAGGAACACCAAUUGCGAAGGCAGCUCGCUGGGACGUUACUGACGCUGGAGACGCGAAAGCGUGGGGAGCAAACAAGG